rnacentral:rRNA from 1 species
CCCAGACUCCUACGGGAGGCAGCAGUGGGGAAUAUUGCACAAUGGGGGAAACCCUGAUGCAGCGACGCCGCGUGAGCGAAGAAGUAUUUCGGUAUGUAAAGCUCUAUCAGCAGGGAAGAAAUUGACGGUACCUGAGUAAGAAGCUCCGGCUAAAUACGUGCCAGCAGCCGCGGUAAUACGUAUGGAGCAAGCGUUAUCCGGAUUUACUGGGUGUAAGGGGAGCGUAGGCGGCCUGCCAAGUCUGAUGUGAAAUACCGGGGCUCAACCCCGGGGCUGCAUUGGAAACUGGCAGGCUGGAGUGUCGGAGAGGCAGGCGGAAUUCCUAGUGUAGCGGUGAAAUGCAUAGAUAUCACGAAGAACCCCGAUUGCGAAGGCAGCAUACCGGCUCCACACUGACGCUGAGGCACGAAAGCGUGGGUAUCGAACAGGAUUAGAUACCCCGGUAA